rnacentral:precursor_RNA from 7 species
UUCAGGACUAAAUCUUUUGGUAUUUAAAAGGUGGAUAUUCCUUCUAUGUUUAUGCUUUUUGUGAUUAAACAUAGAGGAAAUUUCACGUUUUCAGUGUCAAAUGCUGCUGGGUAAUGGG